UAUUCCGUAGUUUGAUAAACACUUUUGCUGUUACGUCAUACUAUUGAUAAACGUUAGCAUACUUAUUUCAUAGGAAUUUACACUCAACCAGACUCGUUACGAUAUACACUUUACUGUGGACUCGUUAGAAAUAGAUGUAGACUUGUUGCAAACUUAAGUUAAAAGUUAAACUUGAAAAGGAUCGUUUUUUCAAAUUCAAAGAA